rnacentral:rRNA from 1 species
UACGUAGGUGGCAAGCGUUGUCCGGAUUUACUGGGCGUAAAGGAUGCGUAGGCGGACUUUUAAGUGAGAUGUGAAAUCCCUAAGCUUAACUUAGGUGCUGCAUUACAAACUGGAAGUCUAGAGUGCGGGAGAGGAGAGUGGAAUUCCUAGUGUAGCGGUGAAAUGCGUAGAGAUUAGGAAGAACACCAGUGGCGAAGGCGACUCUCUGGACCGUAACUGACGCUGAGGCAUGAAAGCGUGGGUAGCAAACAGG